ensembl:lncRNA
UUGGAAGUGUACAUUUCUCAGUUAUUAGUUUCUUCCUGAAUGUUGUGUAAAAUAUAUGAUUGAUUAUGAAACUAUUUGUGGGAAGAUGUAAUGUUAUGUUGGCCUUCUAAACCAGAUACUUGUUUAGUGUCACGAACCGACUCAAAGCCCGUAACAAAAGGGAGACAACGUGGAGAUAAGGAGUAACAAAAUAUAUAUUUAUUAAAUAAGUAACUAAGUAGAUUAUACAAUGGUGUGUGUAAUCAGUAGUGUAAGUGAGUGUUUUGCAUGCAUGAAUGUGAUAAUGCAGGGUGUUGAAAGGUGCCAAAGCAAACAACCUAAAGGCCACCAAGAAACACAACAAAAUCUAGAAAUGUGUCUGCAUGGAGAGAGUCUCCUCCAUGAAUGGGGAAGUGGUGUAUUUAUCCUGGGAGACACCGGGCCCAGGUGUGUCUGCAUGGAGAGAGUCUCCUCCAUGAAUGGGGAAGUGGUGUAUUUAUCCUGGGAGAUACCGGGCCCAGGUGUGUCUGCAUGGAGAGAGUCUCCUCCAUGAAUGGGGAAGUGGUGUAUUUAUCCUGGGACACACCUGACCCAGGUGUUCCCCAUGUAGCUGACGACCCUCCCAACUCCGCCCACCGGCAUCCUAAUAACCCUCCCAACUCCGCCCACCGGCAUCCUAAUAAGGAAAACAAGAGGAAAGAGAGAAUACGGCAGACAGAGUGGGAGGGGCGUCACAUUAGUUAUAUUAGUUAUAAUGUUUUAACUAGUUAGUGGCUGUCACGCCCUGACCUUAGAGAGCUUUUUGCGUCUCUAUUUUGGUUUGGUCAGGUUGUGAUUUGGGAUGGGCAUUCUAUGUUAUUUUUUCUAUGUUUUUGUAUUUCUUUGUUUUUGGCCGGGUAGGGUUCUCAAUCAGGGACAGCUGUCUAUCGUUGUCUCUGAUUGGGAACCAUACCUAGGUAGCUUUUUCCCACAUGGUUUUUGUGGGUAGUUAUUUUCUGUUUAGUGUUUUCUGCACCUGACAGGACCGUUUCGGUUAUUCAUUUAGUUAUUUUUGUUUAGUGUUCAGUUUAAAUAAAAAGUCAUGAACACUUACAACGCUGCGCUUUGGUGUGAUUCCUCUUCUUCAGACGACGACUAGUAGGGUGGUUGAAUUAGUAGGGAUGAAUAGUGUCUCGUAGGGUGGUUGAAUUAGUAGGGAUGAAUAGUGUCUAGUAGGGUGAUUGAAUUAGUAGUGAUUAAUAGUGUCUCGUAGGGUGGUUGAAUUAGUAGGGAUGAAUAGUGUCUCGUAGGGUGGUUGAAUUAGUAGGGAUGAAUAGUGUCUCGUAGGGUGGGUGAAUUAGUAGGGAUGAAUAGUGUCUAGUAGGGUGGUUGAAUUAGUAGGGAUGAAUAGUGUCUCGUAGGGUGGUUGAAUUAGUAGUGAUGAAUAGGGCUGGUGUCUCUUAGGGUGGUUGAAUUAGUAGGGAUGAAUAGUGUCUAGUAGGGUGGUUGAAUUAGUAGGGAUGAAUAGUGUCUCGUAGGGUGGUUGAAUUAGUAGGGAUGAAUAGUGUCUCGUAGGGUGGUUGAAUUAGUAGGGAUGAAUAGUGUCUCGUAGGGUGGUUGAAUUAGUAGGGAUGAAUAGUGUCUCGUAGGGUGGUUGAAUUAGUAGGGAUGAAUAGUGUCUAGUAGGGUGGUUGAAUUAGUAGGGAUGAAUAGGGCUGGUGUCUCGUAGGGUGUUUGAAUUAGGAGUGAUGAAUAGGGCUGGUGUCUCAUAGGAAAGAAAAUACAGGUUUUCUCCAACGGCCCUUAAAUUGACUGGUAUUUAAUACCAUCCUUUGUAAUGAUAACUGUUGCUGUUCAACGACUAUUGAUGAAACAGAUGAAUACAUGUUUACUAUCCUUUGAAGACUCGUAAGUGUCUCCAUGUGUAUAUUGUCAUACACAUCUGGUACGCCCACUCAAUCAGGAAAAAACUAGACGGUUCUCUCUCCUACCGCACGGCAAGCGGUACCGGAACGCCAAGUCCAGGUCCAAAAGGCUCCUCAACAGCUUCUACCCCCCAAGCCAGAAGACUGCUGAACAAUUAAUCAAAUGGCCACUGGGAAUAUUUACAUUGACCCCCUCUCUUUGUUUUAACACUGCUGCUACUCACUGUUUAUUACCUAUGCAUAGCCACUUUACCCCGACCUACAUGUACAAAAUACCUCAACUAUCCUGUACCCCUGCACAUUGACUCAGUACGGUAUAUUGCCUCAUUAUUGUUAUUUUAUUGUAUAACUUUUAAAUUAUUUUUUACCUUAGUUUAUUUAGUAAAUAUUUUCUUAACUCUACUUUCUUUUAAAACUGCAUUUUUAGUUAAGGGCUUGUAAGACAGUAUUUAACGAUAAGGUUGUUUUUGGCGCAUGUGAUAAAUAACAUGUCAUUUCAUUUGAAAAGAUAAAGGUAUUCUGUCCCGAAGUUUGUUACUGUGAACGAAAAAUUACAUUCGGACUUCUCCACUUAGGAACUGUGUGUGACUGAACCUUCCCAAAUAGUGCUCCUGCUGUACGGUUUCCACUAGAUAACACAGCAACAAAGUUGUAUAUUAUAUUGUAUUGUAACAAUCUAUGAAAACAAGUUAGCGUUAGGCAACAGGUUAGCGGUGUGAUUAAGGUUAGGUUUGAGGUUAGGGUUAAGGUUAGGUUUAUAAUGAGAUUUUAUUAUUAUUUAGAGACGUUUUAGCCAUUAUUAUGACUUUGUGGCUGUGUUAACUAGUGACCACACUGCUAUACAGCAUGGGACGAUGUGUGACAGUUGGGACACAACAGACAGACAGACAGACAGACAGACAGACAGACAGACAGACAGACAGACAGACAGACAGACAGGCGGAGAGACAGGCAGACAGACAGGCAGACAGACAGACAGACACACACAGACAGACAGACAGGCGGAGAGACAGACAGGCAGACAGGCAGGCAGACAGACAGGCAGACAGACAGACAGACACACACACACAGACAGACAGACAGACAGACAGACAG